rnacentral:tRNA from 1 species
UAUAUUUUGAUGUAAGUAGCAUUUAAAUUUUUGAAGUUUAAAGGUAUAGUUUAAUUCUAUAAAAUAUAA